UACGUAGGGGGCAAGCGUUGUCCGGAUUAUUGGGCGUAAAGAGCUCGUAGGCGGUUCCGUAAGUCGAGUGUGAAAAAUCUGGGCUCAACCCAGUGGAGCACUCGAUACUGCGGUGACUAGAGUACGGUAGAGGAGUGUGGAAUUCCUGGUGUAGCGGUGAAAUGCGCAGAUAUCAGGAGGAACACCAACGGCGAAGGCAGCACUCUGGGCCGGUACUGACGCUGAGGAGCGAAAGCUAGGGUAGCGAACGGG
rnacentral:rRNA from 1 species